rnacentral:lncRNA from 1 species
GGUAAACUUGUGCAUAGGGAGAGAUGCAUUGCUCUCUUCCUCCUACUUCAUCAGAGGCAUAAUAAUCAGAGCAACUCCACUGUAUUGUGGACAACAUGGGUGGAUGACUGGGUGUUGUAUAUAAUGAUGGGUAGUCAAGCAAAUGUGGAACAUCAUGGUGAUACACAAGCGGAAAAAUUUGAAUGGAAAAGAUGUAAAAAGUUGGGAAAAUCUGUGAGGGUGGAAAAAAUAAUAUUUCAAAAAAUAGUGAGAUGCGGAAAAUCAGUGAAUCAGGUAACAGUUGAGGGGA